rnacentral:lncRNA from 1 species
CCAGAUGGAGCAUACUCGGCCAUUUGUGAGUCUUAGGCUUGGUGCAAACUUAGGGUAUCAGUGUACGAACAUGGCAUGAUCCGUACAUGAUCUAAUGUUUGUGAUCAACCUAACUUGAGUCUCAAGGAAGAAGAGACUCGUGUGGCUUCAUGUAUAAAGGAGUCGUGAGGAUAUUCAAAUCCAAGAAGGGCGCGGAUGUCUUUAGCUUUCUCUUGUUACCGUUUGGAGAUAAGACAGGCUGGCUGUGCAAGCUGUCCAUGAGCUGUGCCUUGACUAUGUAUCUAGACAGAUACAUGGCAAGAUGAAGAGAAGCCUUAAAGCAUCCAAUCACACGCUAAAGAGAGACCAGCCAAUAAGAAGAACUAUCAUGAAGAUAAAGACUAGCAUAACUCUCUCCAUCUCAACCAUCCAAACUCCAAGAAGAUUAUGAGCCAUUAGAUUUUGGUUUUACGUUAUUGCAAAUGUAAAAGCCUAUAUAAAGCUCAUAAUGUCGAUUGUAAACCCUAAGGGAGUAAGGGGGAUUUUCCCUCUCCACUUCAUGGAAAUGAAAUGUGUUCUUGAAUCAGAUUCUCUUUAAUCUCUCCCUUUCUUAUACUUUAAUCUCUUAAUCUCUCAAAGACUCUUGUUUCUGAUUUAAGUAAACACUCUUAUCAAUCUCUCUUUCUAAUCACCUAGAGCAAGCUCUCAUCUUUCUCCAUUGGAGUUCAUACACACACAAACACAACUAGAGAAGAGAACUCUAUAAAUCUCACAAGUACGGCCAGUGUACGGCCUGUACGGUCUUGGCUCGGCCUAACCUCUCUCAAUGCCUUCUUCUCCUCAUUCCCAAACUUCCCUAAGUCUCCAUAGAUUAACUCCUCA